AAAUCGCCAACCGCAAACACGGUUAAGGGCGAAUUCGGCCGACGAAAGGAAAUUGCCCAAGUGUGUUGACCACUACGGCUCAACCUUCACAGUUGUGGGAAAAGAAAUGAAUGGGAUAAAAAGCUCGUAUUUUUUAUUUUUCCAAGUAAAACAAAUUGGACCCCCGAGGAAACUAGAACCGUCUAUCUGAUUCCGAAUUGUCUCGAAUUUUUCUUGAUUCUAACGGAAUCCAUGACAGACAUUACAACACAGCUGCACAACCCCCUAAAGUUCGAGAUGUGCCAAGAAUAGACGUCACUGACGCAACAACACCGGAAAUGCCGAAAUAUUUUCCACCCAUAACAAAAAACCACGCACACGCUGCCUUCUUCUAGACUCUAUACAAGUUAAGAAUAGAAGAAAAAAAAAACUUUUUUCUAAUUGGGUAAAAAGGAAUGUGACAGUAGUAGUCGCUCCAAAUAUAGAAAUGAAAUAAAAAUCCCUUUCAAAUUUUUGUUUCUUUCAAACAUUUUUGUCAAACACAUAUUUUUGUAUUGCGCACAAGCUGCGUGAAAAUAUUUUCCCAGUUUUAGUUUUUAAUUUUUUUCAAAACGGGAGCGAGAGGGAAACUUGCGGGAGUUGAAGGCUCCUGCGGCUAGGAGCUCGUGAGUUGACCUCAAUAGCUAAAAGCGCGCAGCUCUUUCGCAAGUCGACGACACACGUUGGUAAGAGAAAA